rnacentral:rRNA from 1 species
AGGUUAAGUUAAUAAGGGCGCACGGUGGAUGCCUUGGCACUAGGAGCCGACGAAGGACGUGACAAACGACGAUAUGCCUUGGGUAGCUGUAAGUAAGCGAUGAUCCAGGGAUUUCCGAAUGGGGGAACCCAACAGGUAAUACCUGUUACCUACAUCUGUUAAGGAUGUGAGGAGGAAGACGCAGUGAACUGAAACAUCUAAGUAGCUGCAGGAAGAGAAAGCAAAAGCGAUUGCCUUAGUAGCGGCGAGCGAAACGGCAGAAGGGCAAACCGAAGAGUUUACUCUUCGGGGUUGUAGGACUGCAAUGUGGACUCAAAGAUUAUAGAAGAAUGAUUUGGGAAGAUCAGCCAAAGAGAGUAAUAGCCUCGUAUUUAAAAUAGUCUUUGUACUUAGCAGUAUCCUGAGUACGGCGGGACACGUGAAAUCCCGUCGGAAUCUGGGAGGACCAUCUCCCAACCCUAAAUACUCCCUAGUGACCGAUAGUGAACCAGUACCGUGAGGGAAAGGUGAAAAGCACCCCGUGAGGGGAGUGAAAUAGAACCUGAAACCGUGUGCCUACAACAAGUUCGAGCCCGUUAAUGGGUGAGAGCGUGCCUUUUGUAGAAUGAACCGGCGAGUUACGUUAUGAUGCGAGGUUAAGUUGAAGAGACGGAGCCGUAGGGAAACCGAGUCUGAAUAGGGCGCCUUAGUAUCAUGACGUAGACCCGAAACCAUGUGACCUACCCAUGAGCAGGUUGAAGGUGCGGUAAGACGCACUGGAGGACCGAACCAGGGCACGUUGAAAAGUGCUUGGAUGACUUGUGGGUAGCGGAGAAAUUCCAAACGAACUUGGAGAUAGCUGGUUCUCUCCGAAAUAGCUUUAGGGCUAGCGUCGACAUUAGAGAUUCUUGGAGGUAGAGCACUGUUUGGGUGAGGGGUCCAUCCCGGAUUACCAAUCUCAGAUAAACUCCGAAUGCCAAUGAAUUAUGGUCGGCAGUCAGACUGCGAGUGCUAAGAUCCGUAGUCGAAAGGGAAACAGCCCAGACCACCAGCUAAGGUCCCAAAAUAAUUGUUAAGUGGAAAAGGAUGUGGGGUUGCACAGACAACUAGGAUGUUAGCUUAGAAGCAGCUAUUCAUUCAAAGAGUGCGUAAUAGCUCACUAGUCGAGUGACCCUGCGCCGAAAAUGUACCGGGGCUAAAACAAUUUACCGAAGCUGUGGAUACCUUUAUAGGUAUGGUAGGAGAGCGUUCUAUGUGUGAUGAAGGUAUACCGUGAGGAGUGCUGGAACGCAUAGAAGUGAGAAUGCCGGUAUGAGUAGCGAAAGACAGGUGAGAAUCCUGUCCACCGUAAGACUAAGGUUUCCAGGGGAAGGCUCGUCCGCCCUGGGUUAGUCGGGACCUAAGGAGAGACCGAAAGGUGUAUCCGAUGGACAACAGGUUGAUAUUCCUGUACUAGAGUAUGUAGUGAUGGAGGGACGCAGUAGGCUAACUAAAGCAGACGAUUGGAAGAGUCUGUCUAAGCAGUGAGGUGUGAAUUGAGUCAAAUGCUUAAUUCUAUAACAUUGAGCUGUGAUGGGGAGCGAAGUUUAGUAGCGAAGUUAGUGACGUCACACUGCCAAGAAAAGCUUCUAGCGUUUAAACAUACUCUACCCGUACCGCAAACCGACACAGGUAGUCGAGGCGAGUAGCCUCAGGUGAGCGAGAGAACUCUCGUUAAGGAACUCGGCAAAAUGACCCCGUAACUUCGGGAGAAGGGGUGCUGACUUAAAGUCAGCCGCAGUGAAUAGGCCCAAGCAACUGUUUAUCAAAAACACAGCUCUCUGCUAAAUCGUAAGAUGAUGUAUAGGGGGUGACGCCUGCCCGGUGCUGGAAGGUUAAGAGGAGUGCUUAGCGUAAGCGAAGGUAUGAAUUGAAGCCCCAGUAAACGGCGGCCGUAACUAUAACGGUCCUAAGGUAGCGAAAUUCCUUGUCGGGUAAGUUCCGACCCGCACGAAAGGCGUAAUGAUUUGGGCACUGUCUCAACGAGAGACUCGGUGAAAUUUUAGUACCUGUGAAGAUGCAGGUUACCCGCGACAGGACGGAAAGACCCCAUGGAGCUUUACUGCAGUUUGAUAUUGAGUGUCUGUACCACAUGUACAGGAUAGGUAGGAGUCUAAGAGAUCGGGACGCCAGUUUCGAAGGAGACGCUGUUGGGAUACUACCCUUGUGUUAUGGCCACUCUAACCCAGAUAGGUGAUCCCUAUCGGAGACAGUGUCUGACGGGCAGUUUGACUGGGGCGGUCGCCUCCUAAAAGGUAACGGAGGCGCCCAAAGGUUCCCUCAGAAUGGUUGGAAAUCAUUCGCAGAGUGUAAAGGUAUAAGGGAGCUUGACUGCGAGAGCUACAACUCGAGCAGGGACGAAAGUCGGGCUUAGUGAUCCGGUGGUUCCGUAUGGAAGGGCCAUCGCUCAACGGAUAAAAGCUACCCUGGGGAUAACAGGCUUAUCUCCCCCAAGAGUUCACAUCGACGGGGAGGUUUGGCACCUCGAUGUCGGCUCGUCGCAUCCUGGGGCUGUAGUCGGUCCCAAGGGUUGGGCUGUUCGCCCAUUAAAGCGGCACGCGAGCUGGGUUCAGAACGUCGUGAGACAGUUCGGUCCCUAUCCGUCGCGGGCGUAGGAAAUUUGAGAGGAUCUGCUCCUAGUACGAGAGGACCAGAGUGGACUUACCGCUGGUGUACCAGUUGUCUUGCCAAAGGCAUCGCUGGGUAGCUAUGUAGGGAAGGGAUAAACGCUGAAAGCAUCUAAGUGUGAAACCCACCUCAAGAUGAGAUUUCCCAUGAUUAUAUAUCAGUAAGAGCCCUGAGAGAUGAUCAGGUAGAUAGGUUAGAAGUGGAAGUGUGGCGACACAUGUAGCGGACUAAUACUAAUAGCUCGAGGACUUAUCCAAA